AUUGAACGCUGGCGGCAUGCCUUACACAUGCAAGUCGAACGGCAGCACGGGUGCUUGCACCUGGUGGCGAGUGGCGAACGGGUGAGUAAUAUAUCGGAACGUACCUUAUUGUGGGGGAUAACGCAGCGAAAGCUGUGCUAAUACCGCAUAAUCCCUAAGGGGGAAAGCGGGGGACCGUAAGGCCUCGCGCAAUUAGAGCGGCCGAUACCUGAUUAGCUAGUUGGUGAGAUAAAGGCUCACCAAGGCAACGAUCAGUAGCUGGCCUGAGAGGACGAUCAGCCACACUGGGACUGAGACACGGCCCAGACUCCUACGGGAGGCAGCAGUGGGGAAUUUUGGACAAUGGGGGCAACCCUGAUUCAGCAAUGCCGCGUGAGUGAAGAAGGCCUUCGGGUUGUAAAGCUCUUUUGUCAGGGAAGAAACAGCAGCUCUAACACAGUUUGCGAAUGACGGUACCUGAAGAAUAAGCACCGGCUAACUACGUGCCAGCCGCCGCCGUAA
rnacentral:rRNA from 1 species